rfam:Pelosinus fermentans B4 ctg1, whole genome shotgun sequence.
GACAGUAAACAGAAUAUAACUCGUAUAUUUUUGAGAAUAAGGCUCAAGCGUUUCUACCAGAUAACCGUAAAUUGUCUGACUACGAGUGAAAGUGUACCUAGG